rnacentral:lncRNA from 1 species
UAGCAAAAUAUUUACAGGAAAAGUAUCCAAAAAUGGCAAGAACUAUUGAGCCUACUGGUACUAUGAUCCCAAUGGCUACUUUCAUAUCUCUCUUUUGAUCUGCAUUCCGAAAUAAGCUUACAUCAGACAUAUGUUUUGGGCAAGCAAAGUUUUGUACUAGCUUAUAUUAUAGUUCUGAAAAGAAAAAGGCAUUACCAAGCUCAGUGUACCUAGGCAAGCAGAGUUUUGUACUAGCUUAUAUUAUAAUUCUGAAAAGAAAAAGGUAUUACCAAGCUCAGUGUACGAAAGGCGAACAAAUAAGUCUGCCCCACCCAUGGAGAAUUUCUGAACAUCAAGUAAGAUU